rnacentral:rRNA from 1 species
CGGCACGGGUGAGUAACACGUAUCCAACCUGCCGUCUACUCUUGGACAGCCUUCUGAAAGGAAGAUUAAUACAAGAUGGCAUCAUGAGUCCGCAUGUUCACAUGAUUAAAGGUAUUCCGGUAGACGAUGGGGAUGCGUUCCAUUAGAUAGUAGGCGGGGUAACGGCCCACCUAGUCUUCGAUGGAUAGGGGUUCUGAGAGGAAGGUCCCCCACAUUGGAACUGAGACACGGUCCAAACUCCUACGGAAGGCAGCAG